rnacentral:lncRNA from 1 species
CCUGGGCUUUUUUCUGUGUCAUACUGGGUGCAAUAUAGAUGGGUUUCCACACCUAUCCGCGGGCUAUCAUCGGGCUAAAGAGGUUGCACAAGAUCAAAGAAACAAAACUAGUCCAUUGGUAAGAAAAGUAUCGGGACGAAAAUAAAAACUGAGUCCGGCAUCUCGAGCGGUUCUUGUGGAAAAAACUUUGAUAUUACUCAGAGUGAGGCUCCUAGUAGUUAUCUGUGAAUUUUCGGGACGUUUCUCACAUGGUUUAAAAAUCGGCCGAUUUUUCGUAUGGUAAAGCCUUGGCCAUUUUUGGACCGUUUUUGGCGCAACCGUUGUGCACUCCGAAGGAGCCCCACCCGACCCUAGGCCCUGCGGCUUUUUUUCUGUGUCAUACUGGGUGCAAUAUAGAUGGUUUCCACACCUAUCUGCGGGCUAUCAUCGGCCUAAAUAGGUUGCACAAGAUCAAAGAAACACAACUAGUCCAUGGGAAGAAAAGUAUUGGACGAAUAAAAACUGGAGUCGGCAUCUCCGAGCGGUUCUUGUGGGAAAAAACUUUGAUAUUACUCAGAGUGAGGCCUCCUAGUAGUUAUCUGUCAAUUUUCAGGACGUUUCUCACAUGGUUAAAAUCGGGCCGAUUUUUCGUAUGGUAAAGCCUGGCCAUUUUUUGGACCGUUUUUGGCGCAACCGUUGUGCACCCCGAACCAGCCCCACCCGACCCCUAGGUCCUGGGCUUUUUUUCUGUGUCGUAAAGGGUGCAAUAUAGAUGGGUUUCCACACCUAUCCGCGGGCUAUCAUCGGUCUAAAUAGGUUGCACAGGAUCAUAGAAACACAACUAAACCAUUGGAAGAAAAGUAUUGGGACGAAAAUAAAAACUGAGUCUGGGCAUCUUCGAGCGGUUUUUAUGAGAAGAAACUUUAAUAUUACUCAAAGUGAGGCCGCCUAGAGUUAUCUGUGAAUUUUCGGGACGUUUCUCACAUGGGUAAAAAAUCGGCGACUUUUCGUAUGUUAAAGCCUUGGCCAUUUUGGACCGUUUUUGGCGCAACCGUUGCGCACCUCGAACGAGCCCCACCCGACCCCUAGGUCCUGGCCUUUUUUCUGUGUCGUAAAGGGUGCAAUAUAGAUGGUUUCCACACCUAUCCGCGGGCUAUCAUCGGUCUAAAUAGGUUGCACAAGAUCAAAGAAACACAACUAAACCAUGGGAAGAAAAGUAUUGGGACGAAAAUAAAAACUGAGUCUGGGCAUCUACGAGCGGUUUUUGUGGGAAGAAACUUUAAUAUUACUCAAAGUGAGGCCGCCUAGUAG